UACGUAGGGUGCAAGCGUUGUCCGGAAUUAUUGGGCGUAAAGGGUGCGUAGGCGGCGUGGUAAGUCGGGUGUGAAAUCUCGGAGCUUAACUCCGAAACUGCAUUCGAUACUGCCGUGCUUGAGGACUGGAGAGGAGACUGGAAUUUACGGUGUAGCGGUGAAAUGCGUAGAUAUCGUAAGGAAGACCAGUGGCGAAGGCGGGUCUCUGGACAGUUCCUGACGCUGAGGCACGAAGGCCAGGGGAGCAAACGGG
rnacentral:rRNA from 1 species